UUUCUUUGUAAGCAGCCUGAGGUUAACGCGCGUGAGCACUCAAGACUACAUAUCCCAUAAAUCAUAGCAGCUCCCCUUAAAUUACCAGAGCUUCACCAGGUGUGUGUGUAAGGGUCGCAAGUCUCAGAGAAGAGCUGUCGGUACACACGAGACAGGCGGAGGACAGGAACAGGACAGGACACGCACCCUCGACACCACCCAGCACCACCACCACUGCAGAAAUGUCGGACUCCGAGACCGCCGCCCCCGUCGAGGCCCCCGUCCCCGCUGCUUGUGCCGCCAUCAAGGCUGACCUGGACAAAUGUGUGGCAGAGAAGGGAGCCGAGGGCUGCAAAGACCUGAUGGAGGCCUUUGCUGCUUGUGUGAAGAGUGCAACUGAGGGGACGUCAUGAGGAGGCGCCCUCAAACCUCAAAUGUCCACUGCACUGAGUCCUCCAAGUUCCCAGCAUUCCCUUCUGCACAACAGCACUGGACUGAAUGAUGACGAUGAUGAAGAUGGAAGAUAACGAUGAUCAUGGCGUGACGAGCAUUGUGUUGAUUCGGGCUGAAUUUGGGAUGUGGUGGCAGUAACCACAGUGUGCUCCCCCUGUCCUCCCCUCUGUUAUAGGCUUAUCUGGUGUCCCUCAGUCUUACCGCCAUUCCCCUUCUCCCUCUACGGCUGACAUGCAGUACAUCGACUUGUAGACUAUUCCAGAGAGCUGAGCUGUAAUGUAAAUUGUCGACUCGAGAUGAAUACUUAUAAAUGGAAAUAAAAAGUAUCAAAUAAUUGGUAUAAAAAGACA